rnacentral:rRNA from 1 species
CCUACGGGAGGCUGCAGUAGGGAAUCAUCCACAAUGGGCGAAAGCCUGAUGGAGCAACGCCGCGUGGGUGAAGAAGGUCUUCGGAUCGUAAAACCCUGUUGUUAGAGAAGAAAGUGCGUGAGAGUAACUGUUCACGUUUCGACGGUAUCUAACCAGAAAGCCACGGCUAACUACGUGCCAGCAGCCGCGGUAAUACGUAGGUGGCAAGCGUUAUCCGGAUUUAUUGGGCGUAAAGGGAACGCAGGCGGUCUUUUAAGUCUGAUGUGAAAGCCCUCGGCUUAACCGGAGUAGUGCAUUGGAAACUGGGAGACUGGAGUGCAGAAGAGGAGAGUGGAACGCCAUGUGUAGCGGUGAAAUGCGUAGAUAUAUGGAAGAACACCAGUGGCGAAAGCGGCUCUCUGGUCUGUAACUGACGCUGAGGUUCGAAAGCGUGGGUAGCAAACAGGAUUAGAUACCCGAGUAGUC